AGCGCACUCUUCGGAGUGAGCGGCGGACGGGUUAGUAACGCGUGGGAAUAUACCCUUCACUACGGAAUAGCCUCGGGAAACUGAGAGUAAUACCGUAUACGCCCUUCGGGGGAAAGAUUUAUCGGUGAUGGAUUAGCCCGCGUCUGAUUAGAUAGUUGGUGGGGUAACGGCCUACCAAGUCGACGAUCAGUAGCUGGUUUGAGAGGAUGAUCAGCAACACUGGGACUGAGACACGGCCCAGACUCCUACGGGAGGCAGCAGUGGGGAAUCUUAGACAAUGGGCGAAAGCCUGAUCUAGCCAUGCCGCGUGAGUGACGAAGGCCCUAGGGUCGUAAAGCUCUUUCGCCAGGGAUGAUAAUGACAGUACCUGGUAAAGAAACCCCGGCUAACUCCGUGCCAGCAGCCGCGGUAAUACGGAGGGGGUUAGCGUUGUUCGGAAUUACUGGGCGUAAAGCGCGCGUAGGCGGAUUGGAAAGUAUGGGGUGAAAUCCCGGGGCUCAACCCCGGAACUGCCCUGUAAACUAUCAGUCUAGAGUUCGAGAGAGGUGAGUGGAAUUCCAAGUGUAGAGGUGAAAUUCGUAGAUAUUUGGAGGAACACCAGUGGCGAAGGCGGCUCACUGGCUCGAUACUGACGCUGAGGUGCGAAAGUGUGGGGAGCAAACAGGAUUAGAUACCCUGGUAGUCCACACCGUAAACGAUGAAUGCCAGACGUCGGGGGGCUUGCCCUUCGGUGUCACACCUAACGGAUUAAGCAUUCCGCCUGGGGAGUACGGUCGCAAGAUUAA
rnacentral:rRNA from 1 species